CUGUUGGAUUUCCAAGAAAUGUUUGCUUUCCGGAUAAAAGGGAGAGACACAACUGGCUCCAGCCCUUUUCCUGUUCUUCCUGCUUUGAAUACUCACAUGAUUCCUGGAGCUGCAGCAGCCAUCUUGUUUACCAAGAGGGAAAGCCAAGAUGAUCACAGAAUAGCCAGCACUGGUAUUGUUCCGCCAGCGACAGCAGAUACUUACCUCCAGAUUUUUGGGGAAAAAAAAAUGAGCUGGAGUGACUCUCUUGGUCCCUAAGGUGGAAGCCAUGUGUUGAGGACACUGAGCAACAAGAUAGGAGGAGCCUGGGGCACAGCCAGAGAACAGGAAGCCACCCAAAUAGCUCUCAACCCCUUAUAGAUGGACUACUAAAUGGGAAAUAAAGUAGACUGUUCUCUCUU